CACGUGGGCAAUCUGCCCUGCACUCUGGGACAAGCCCUGGAAACGGGGUCUAAUACCGGAUAUGACCGUCUGCCGCAUGGUGGAUGGUGUAAAGCUCCGGCGGUGCAGGAUGAGCCCGCGGCCUAUCAGCUUGUUGGUGAGGUAGUGGCUCACCAAGGCGACGACGGGUAGCCGGCCUGAGAGGGCGACCGGCCACACUGGGACUGAGACACGGCCCAGACUCCUACGGGAGGCAGCAGUGGGGAAUUUUCCGCAAUGGCGAAGACCUGACGGAGCAAUACCGCGUGAGGGAGAGACGGC
rnacentral:rRNA from 1 species